rnacentral:rRNA from 1 species
AUUGAACGCUGGCGGCAUGCUUUACACAUGCAAGUCGAACGGUAACAGGCCGCAAGGUGCUGACGAGUGGCGCACGGGUGAGUAAUGCAUCGGAACGUGCCCAGUCGUGGGGGAUAACUACUCGAAAGAGUAGCUAAUACCGCAUACGAUCUAUGGAUGAAAGCGGGGGACCGUAAGGCCUCGCGCGAUUGGAGCGGCCGAUGUCAGAUUAGGUAGUUGGUGGGGUAAAGGCUCACCAAGCCAACGAUCUGUAGCUGGUCUGAGAGGACGACCAGCCACACUGGGACUGAGACACGGCCCAGACUCCUACGGGAGGCAGCAGUGGGGAAUUUUGGACAAUGGGCGCAAGCCUGAUCCAGCAAUGCCGCGUGCAGGAAGAAGGCCUUCGGGUUGUAAACUGCUUUUGUACGGAACGAAACGGCUCUGGUUAAUACCCGGGGCUAAUGACGGUACCGUAAGAAUAAGCACCGGCUAACUACGUA